CCUUCACGAAGUCGGAAUUGCUAGUAAUGGCAGGUCAGCAUACUGCCGUGAAUACGUUCCCGGGCCUUGUACACACCGCCCGUCACACCAUGAGAGUUAGGAAUACCCGAAGCCUGUGAGCCAACUUUUCAAGAGGCAGCAGUCGAAGGUAGAACUAAUGAUUGGGGUGAAGUCGUAACAAGGUAAC
rnacentral:rRNA from 1 species